CUGUUGUUUCGUUGCUUCUGGUGGACAAAUACAUGAAAUCUCUGUGCCAUCAUCAAACAUGUUAAUGGCUAUAUAUUGGGUAAUUCAAACCCUUUUUUUCCGCAUAGAAAAAACUCUUCGUUAAUCUGAGCAUGGAAGUAAUACUUUAUAUCACGAACUAUAAAUGAGGAUACACAAAAUGAAAAACUAAGCGAAAUUGUGAAUCCCGC
rnacentral:lncRNA from 1 species